UACGAAGGGGGCGAGCGUUGUCCGGAUUUAUUGGGCGUAAAGAGCUCGUAGGCGGCUUGUUGCGUUGACUGUGAAAACCCGCGGCUUAACUGCGGGCUUGCAGUUGAUACGGGCAGGCUAGAGUUCGGUAGGGGAGACUGGAAUUCCUGGUGUAGCGGUGAAAUGCGCAGAUAUCAGGAGGAACACCGGUGGCGAAGGCGGGUCUCUGGGCCGAUACUGACGCUGAGGAGCGAAAGCGUGGGGAGCGAACAGG
rnacentral:rRNA from 1 species